CCUACGGGUGGCAGCAGUGAGGAAUAUUGGUCAAUGGGCGAGAGCCUGAACCAGCCAAGUCGCGUGAGGGAGUACUGCCCUAUGGGUUGUAAACCUCUUUUGUCGGGGAGCAAAAGCCGGACGUGUCCGGCUGUGAGAGUACCCGCAGAAAAAGCAUCGGCUAACUCCGUGCCAGCAGCCGCGGUAAUACGGAGGAUGCGAGCGUUUUACGGUUUUUUUGGGUUUAAAGGGUGCGCAGGCGGAUUUUUAAGUCAGCGGGAAAAACGUUGGGCUCAACCCCAUCCAGCCGUUGAAACUGGGGAUCUAGAGUGUGCGAGAGGUAUGCGGAAUGCGUGGUGUAGCGGUGAAAUGCAUAGAUAUCACGCAGAACCCCGAUUGCGAAGGCAGCAUACCGGUGCACAACUGACGCUCAGGCACGAAAGCGUGGGUAUCGAACAGGAUUAGAUACCCCAGUAGUC
rnacentral:rRNA from 1 species